GAGAACCUGCGGGAGAGCGCCCGGGCUUGCUGCUUCCCGGACCCGCGCGUCUCUCGAGCACCCUCGUCCCACCACCUUGUGAGGCCGUAGUGUUAUUUUUAUUUUUUAGAUCAGCAGACUGAGACUCGAGGUGACGUCACUCCGCAGAGAGGUUAGCUGACUUGAAGAAAACGGGUAUCUCCUCUUUCCAUUUCGCCCGUGUAAACAGCCGAACUGCCUAUUAUAAAAGCAUGGACUGCCAGCAUUGGAGUGGUCCUUAGAGGCCUAUUAUGAAAUCAUAGAAUGUCUGCAUUGGAAUCGCCUCACCUCCUUUUACCGCUGGAGAAGCCGACGGACAGACGGGCAGCGACCCCCGCCGUCGCACAACCCGUCUAGGCAGAGAGCGCAGGAGACGGGAGGGCGGCAGGGACACAUCUCCCAGCCAAGGACCUCCUGGGCCCGCAGAGGCCGCGACAGGUUCCCCCCACAGAGGGAACCAACUCUGCCGCAGGUUAGAGCACAGCAGACUGAGCCACCCAGAACUGGCCCCUCCGGUGGACCAGCCCCUGCGGAUUCACAGACCACUGGUCCUGGAAGGGACCUUGUCAAGCAGGCCCAUAAGGUAAUCCCUCCCCGGAAAGAGAAGAUCACAGAUUUUGUCAUAUUAAAUACAUUGUAGAAAUUCAUGGUAGCAGGGGCAAGAUCAUUUAAACAAAACAGAAAGUUUCAGAGAGAGAAAAAGCCAAGGACAAAGAUUAAUCAUUUUUCUGCUUAAAAAAAAUGGCUUUGAUUUGCAACCAUGGAAUGCUCCACUGUUUCUCUUCUCUUCAAAGACAUCUACUGAAAGGAUUCCUUAACCUUACCAAGUGGCCAAAAUACUUUUCUGAGAAGAGUCACAGAGCAUAGGCCCCCCUAGGGUACACAGAGAUUUCAUUAGUCCCUAGAUGUUUCCUGAUCCUUUUAAAAACUGGUUAAAUUCAGAGACUCUAGGCAAUUACUUCUUUCAGAACCUGUGAGGCAAAAACGAAAGAAGAAGGCAGGACACGCAGUGUAACAAACCUUGGAAUGGUAAGUAGGAAAUAUGAGUUAGUUUUUUGGCUAAGCUAUGAAUUUACCUUGUGCCUGCCAGAAAUCACUCAGUCUUUUGUGACUGUAAAUUUUCUGUAAGUGUUAAUUGGUUUGGUUUAUUAUUGCAAGAAGCAAGGGAGCAAUGUUGUGUAUUAUAAUUUCAUUGUGUCAAUUUUGCCAAAUUAUCUUGCAUUUUGUUAUUCUAUGAACUCAUAAUGGGAUAAGGAGUAUAGGCUUUGAUUCAGAACAUAUGUGAUGUUGCUAUAAAUGCUUCAUGGAAAACCCUAAAUAUAUUUUGAAGCCUACAUAGUCAAAAGUCACCAUUGGAAGACUUUUUUACUUUACUAUUGUAUUUAUGCUCGUUAGCACUCAUUCUUGUUUGAAACGUCUCAAAUGCGUAAUUUUAUUAUUUUAUUUGUUGUCUCCAGAUUGGUCUGAGGACUCCGCUUUCUUCACUGCCCAUUCAUCUUCAUACUGUUCUCAUAUUUUUUUUUAAAUUGGGAUAUGCAAUGAUCCUUAGUUUAUAAAUUCAACUCCACUUUGCCACACACAGUGUUACGCUUGGGGAAACAAUUAGAACUUGCCCUUCUUGGCCAGGCGCGGUGGCUCCCGCCUGUGAUCCCAGCACUUUGGGAGGCCAAGGUGGGCAGAUCACGAGGUCAAGAGAUGGAGACCAUCCUGGCCAACAUGGUGAAACCCCGUCUCUACUAAAAAUACAAAAAUUAGCUGGGCAUGGUGGCGCGCGCCUGUAGUCCCAGCUAUUUGGGAGGCUGAGGCAGGAGAAUCGCUUGAACCCGGGAGGCAGUGGUUGCAGUGAGAUUGCGCCGCUGCACUCCAGCCUGGUGACAGAGCAAGACUCCAUCUCAAAAAAAAAAAAAAAAAAAAAGAACUUGCCCCUCUUUUUUUUUUUUUGCUCAAGGAACUCAGUCUGCCGUGGUUGCUCAUUGUCUAGGAUGAAGUCCAAAUCCCUUGGGCCUUCACAAUCCAGCCCUGUCUGUUCUUCUAGUCUCCUUCUCUUUUUACAUCCACUUGCUUUCUGCUAUGUUCUUCACACUAGUCACACUGCCCUUCUCAGGGUGUCAGAGCAACCUAUAUUCUGUCCCUUUUUCAUGCCUUUACUAAUCUAUGUGAAAUACCAUCCCCUAUUCUUGCUUUUAAAUUACCCCAGUUCAAAGGUCAUCUCCUUCUCCGACUCCACGCAGGCCGAGUUAGUGUUCACCUUCACUGAGAUCCUAAGGAGCUGUUUGCAUUCCUCUAUCUCAUUGUAUCAUCAUUGUCUAAGUGUCCGUCCCUCUGCUGUGGCCUCUUUGGGAGCAGGUGCAUGUCUUCCUCCUCUUUCUCCCCUGACAGCAUAACUUAAUGAAUACAGUGUCUGCCGUAAGAGGCCCUCGAUACAUGUUGGUUAUGUAAAUCAAAGAAAAUGACCAAGGCGAGUCUCGAUGAUUUGGGUUUAUUUGCCAAGGUUAAGGAUGCACUCAGGAAAGAACACAGAUCCACAGGAAGAACUGUGCUCCAUGCUUUUUCCAAAGAGGGUCUGGGGACCUCAAUAUUUAAAGGGAAAAGAAUGAAUAUUGGAGAAAGAGAAAGAAAGUUUUUUUUUACAAAGGGUGUGGGUGGAUAAGAGGCAAGCAGUUGCAUUCUUUUGAGUCUUUGAUCAGCCAUUUACAUGUGAGAGGGUGGUAGAGGUACAGUCACUUACACAUUCAAUGAAUCUGCAUUUUUUACAUAACAUAAACAUAGGGCAGAGGAAGCAAUCAGAUAUGCCUUUGUCUCAGGUAAGCAGAGGGAUGUCUUUGAUUUCUGUCCUUUGCCCCAUACCUGCAAAGAUAAGCUAUCAGUAUACAUUGCCAGGGUGAGAUUCAACAGAACUGUUUUAGAGUAAAGAUCUGGGAGCCCACAGGAAUUACCCUGUGGGCAAAUUGUGAGGGAGGUCUGUAGCUUUAUUAUCUUGUAGCUAUCUAUUUAGGAACAAAAUGGGAGGCAGGUUUGCAAGACCCAGUUCCCAGCUGGACUUUUCCCCUUUGGCUUAGUGAGUUUAGGGUCCCAAGAUUUAUUUUCCUUUCACAGUUGAAUCAGGGAAUAAAUGAGUUAACUGUUCCUAAAUUCGACCUCCCCAAUAAUGGUGUCCAUAACAACAUCAAUUUCUUGGAAAGCAAUCUGACUAUAUAUCUUGUUCUGCAUGGCUAAGGAAGGCAUUAGCAGCUAUAAUGCUGGAAAGGAAAUAAUAGAAAUAAGAAAGACUGCUGAGUCAAUAGAGAAUGCAUUACAAAGAGGAAAUUGUCCUGUCACCAGUCAGAAAUCUUAAUUGAGGUCUGUUAUGUGCCAGGUCCUUUUCUAGGUAUUGUCUAUUGCUUAGUUUAUUGCAGAAAUAAACUACAGCAGGUACUGUAUUUCCUCUUUUCAUUUUAAUUUAAUUUAAUUUAAUUUUUUUUUGAGGUGGAGUCUCGCUCUGUCACCCAGGCUGGAGUACAGUGACGUGAUCUCGGCUCACCACAAACUCUGCCUUCUGGGUUCAAGAGAUUCUCUUGCCUCAGCCUCCCAAAUAGCUGGGAUUAUAGGUACAUGCCACCAUGCCCAGCUAUUUUUUGUAUUUUUAGUAGAGAUGGAGUUUCACCAUGUUGGCCAGGCUGGUCUCGAACUCCUCACCUCAGGUGAUCCACCCGCCUCGGCUUCCCAAAGUGCUGGGAUUACAGGUGUGAGCCACCACGCCUGGCCUCCUCUUUUCAUUUUAGGUUCAGAACCCU
rnacentral:lncRNA from 1 species